UACGAAGGGUGCAAGCGUUACUCGGAAUUACUGGGCGUAAAGCGUGCGUAGGCGGUUUGUUAAGUCCGUUGUGAAAGCCCUGGGCUCAACCUGGGAAUUGCAGUGGAUACUGGCGAGCUAGAGUGCGGUAGAGGAUGGUGGAAUUCCCAGUGUAGCGGUGAAAUGCGUAGAGAUCGGGAGGAACACCCGUGGCGAAGGCGGCCAUCUGGACCAGCACUGACGCUGAGGCACGAAAGCGUGGGGAGCAAACAGG
rnacentral:rRNA from 1 species